AAAACUUUCAACAACGGAUCUCUUGGUUCUGGCAUCGAUGAAGAACGCAGCGAAAUGCGAUAAUUAAUGUGAAUUGCAGAAUUCAGUGAAUCAUCGAAUCUUUGAACGCACAUUGCGCCCCUUGGUAUUCCGAGGGGCAUGCCUGUUCGAGCGUCAUUG
rnacentral:rRNA from 1 species